rnacentral:rRNA from 1 species
GAUGAACGCUGGCGGCGUGCCUAAUACAUGCAAGUCGAGCGAACAGACGAGGAGCUUGCUCCUCUGACGUUAGCGGCGGACGGGUGAGUAACACGUGGAUAACCUACCUAUAAGACUGGGAUAACUUCGGGAAACCGGAGCUAAUACCGGAUAAUAUAUUGAACCGCAUGGUUCAAUAGUGAAAGACGGUCUUGCUGUCACUUAUAGAUGGAUCCGCGCUGCAUUAGCUAGUUGGUAAGGUAACGGCUUACCAAGGCGACGAUGCGUAGCCGACCUGAGAGGGUGAUCGGCCACACUGGAACUGAGACACGGUCCAGACUCCUACGGGAGGCAGCAGUAGGGAAUCUUCCGCAAAGGGCGAAAGCCUGACGGAGCAACGCCGCGUGAGUGAUGAAGGUCUUCGGAUCGUAAAACUCUGUUAUUAGGGAAGAACAAAUGUGUAAGUAACUAUGCACGUCUUGACGGUACCUAAUCAGAAAGCCACGGCUAACUACGUG